GGAUUAGAUACCCUGGUAGUCCACGCAGUAAACGAUGAGUGCUAGAUAUCUGGAACUUAAGUUCUGGGUGUCGCAGCUAACGCGUUAAGCACUCCGCCUGAGUAGUACGGUCGCAAGACUAAAACUCAAAGGAAUUGACGGGGACCCGCACAAGCGGUGGAACAUGUGGUUUAAUUCGAUGCUACGCGAAAAACCUUACCAGGUCUUGACAUACUAGUCGUACUUUAUAGUAAUAUAGAGGUCAGCUCGGCUGGACUAGUACAGGUGUUGCAUGGUUGUCGUCAGCUCGUGUCG
rnacentral:rRNA from 1 species